rnacentral:rRNA from 1 species
UACGAAGGGGGCUAGCGUUGUUCGGAAUUACUGGGCGUAAAGCGUGCGCAGGCGGUUCUCCAAGUCAGUGGUGAAAGCCCGGAGCUCAACUCCGGAACUGCCAUUGAAACUGUAGAGCUAGAGUACGAGAGAGGUGAGUGGAAUUCCCAGUGUAGAGGUGAAAUUCGUAGAUAUUCGCAAGAACACCAGUGGCGAAGGCGGUCUGCUGGGCCAACACUGACGCUGAGGCGCGACAGCGUGGGGAGCAAACAGG